rnacentral:misc_RNA from 1 species
AGAGUAUUGUAAUCAGAACAUGGACCUAUAAUAAUUGAACUCCUACUGAUCUUGGUACGUGCGGUAGUCGUACAUCCUGGAAUUGACUGGGAAAGUAUGUGUCAUGGAUGAUUUGUAAACAUUUAUUGCAAUAACACAAACAGUUAUUUCUUAUUCAGUAGCAGACUUGGAAAGACGAUUAUCACGAAAUGAAUAGUUCAGGAGGAGGGUUUCAGCCAGGCUCGGCAACAGCUAAUCCAUCGACGAAAGUGGAGCUCACUGUAUCGUGUCGAAAACUUCGAGAUAUGGAUGUGUUUUCAAAGUCGGAUCCAUUUUGUGUCUUCUACACUGUAAAUCCUCGUACAGGACAAUAUCAAGAAAGUGGACGUACGGAGACUAUCGAUAAUAAUCUAAACCCAGAUUUUGCUCGAAAGUUUGUUGUGGAUUAUUUUUUCGAACAACACCAGCCUUUGAAAUUUGAUGUUUACGAUGCAGACUCAAAAAGUAAUAAUCUAUCAAGCCAUGAUUUCAUCGGCUCAGCCCAGUGCACCCUGGGACAAAUUGUCGGAGCCCAGGGGUCAAGAUUGGUAAAAGAUCUUAGGAGCAAUCAAACUAAGUAUGGAACUAUUAUUAUCACUUAUGAAGAAUUGAGCUCCUGCAAGCAGGAUGAAGCCCAGAUGCAGUUUCAGGGCAUAAAGCUAGCCAAGAAAGAUCUUUUCGGUAAAUCUGACCCAUACCUCAUCUUCUAUCGCUGCAAUGAAAAUAUGAGUUUUACAGUGGCAUACAGAACAGAUGUUAUCAAGAAUACUCUGAAUCCAGUGUGGAAACCAUUCACGGUGCCUCUGAGAACUCUGUGUAAUGCAGACCUCGAUAGAACUAUCAAAGUAGAAUGCUGUGAUUGGAACAGAGAUGGCAGUAUUGAUUUAAUUGGUGAAUUCAAGACCAACAUGCGGAGGUUUAUUGAAGGAAGUCAAACAGAUAACAUAUAUAAGUUAACCAAAGAGAAGAGUAAGAAGAAGGGCAAGACAUAUGGUACUAUAUCACUAUUGAGCUGUCGGGUACAAAAAAUGUUUUCAUUCCUGGAUUACAUUCAAGGAGGGAUGGAGCUUAGUUUUGUGGUGGCCAUAGACUUCACUGCUUCCAAUGGUGCCCCACAAGCCCCAAAUUCUCUGCAUCACAUUAACCCUCAUAUUCCUAACCAGUACGAGCAAGCCAUCCAAUCAGUGGGCCUGAUCAUUCAAGAGUAUGACACGGAUAAGCUCUUCCCAGUAUUCGGCUUUGGAGCAAAGCUUCCUCCUGAUGGAAGGAUUUCCCAUGAUUUUCCCGUGAAUUUCAAUUACCAGAAUCCAUUCUGUGGUGGCGUUGAAGGAAUUCUGGGGGCAUACAGAAACUGUAUUCCUCAAGUGCAACUCCAUGGCCCCACCAACUUUGCACCAAUAAUUAACAGAGUCGCAAGAGAUGCAUCAGGAUUUAUGAAUGGUUCCAAUUUUUUUGUUUUAUUGAUAAUAACUGACGGUAUCAUCUCGGACAUGGAUUUUACUAAAGUUGCUGUUAUCAAUGCUAGCAAACUACCAAUGGCUAUCAUUAUCGUGGGAGUUGGUAAUGCUGAUUUUUCAGCCAUGGAAGAGCUGGAUUCUGAUGACAGUCUCUUAAGUCAUGGAAGCAUAGUGGCAGACCACGAUAUUGUUCAGUUUGUACCAUUUAAUGAAAUUGUUCACCGCUCAGGCAACAGAGAUAUGGGGGCAAUCCAAGCUCAACUUGCUAAAGAAGUAUUAGCGGAGAUUCCAGACCAGAUAGUUACCUGGACAAAAUUACAUGGUAUAAAGCCGAGUACCCGGCCCCCUCCCUAUUGUGCUGUACAGAGUGGCUCAGUGUAAACACACUAAUUCAUAAUCUUAGAUCAAAAAUGAGGUGGGUGUUCAAAUCUGUCUCUCUGUAUUUUUCGCUUGUGUCUGUUGGUAAGAACAACAAGGGAUAGCUGGUGGUUUGUUGUGAAUUGGAAUUGUAUCACUACUCUGCAAGAAAUUCUCUUUUGAAAGCAGAACAUUUUGAAUGUUGGGAUGUGUGCCAUAUUGAAUCCAAUGAACAGGGUAAUAACAUUUAGUCCAUUGUAAAUAAUUUUUUGUUGUUAUGCUGGCAGGCAUGGCAACUAGUAGAUAAUAUACAGUCAGAAGCAACAUAAGCAGUCUAGGCAACCAGCUACGUAACCUCUUCCAGCCAUGCAUAGUUGCAAGAUCGUGGAUGUUACCACUAGUAUUACUGUCAACUAGUUGAAUUAAAUCGUUUUUUAAAGGUGGCAUAAACUUAUCUUAACUAGCCACUAUUGAAUUUUAUAAAUCUGUUUUAUAUAUUAUUAUUAAAUUAAUCAUUUUUAAGGAAUAAAAAGCAAAAUUUAUGGUGUAUAGAUGACAAUUUCUCUUUUGUAAAGGCUAUAUAAAAUGAAUGGAGCACUUUCUCAGAACAUUUGAAUGUCUAUCAGAGCAGUCUUUAACAACUGCUUCAUGGUAUUGCAGCUUGGUCAUUUAUGCUAUAAGUUUCCCUCGCUUGAAGGUCGUGCUGGGUCUGGCCAGGUGAGGAUGAUAUUAGAUCAUUGUAUCAUGUCUUUAUCCCUGCUCAUGGGUAUAACUUUGUUUAUUCUUAUGUGUAAUGUUGCUUUUGUCUGCCAUUGUGUUUUGAAUCCCUGCUAGUACAGUAUAUUAGCCUUCCAAUUUGGUUAAUGAUCAAAGGGCGGAUUUAGAGGAGGGACCAGACCCUUUGGAAAGUUAAAAAAGAAAGAAAAAAAGGAAAAAGAAAUAAUUGAUUAGCUAAAAUGCCUCAGAGGUUAUUUUCGGGCGUUUAGAAAACAACAAAUUUGUGGGGGAUUGCCCCUAGAUAAGUAUUGUCUUGAUCGCCCCCACUUUCAGACAUCUCUUAAUCCGCCCCGAUGAUUGUGUUGCAUUGAGUGGUCAGUGAUAACAAAAUAUUUCGAUCUAAUAUCAGAGAUCUUUAUCAACUGACUUCUAGUUAAUAUUGUGGCCUAGUAUAAUGACAUCUUUUCUAGCAAAGAAGCUAAAGCGUAAAGCCAGACAAACAAGCAAAUCAUCAACAUAAGAGCGAUAAAGCCACACAUGAAUUCUCUAAUCUGUACAUUGACUUAAUACAGUCCUCACCUUGCUGGGAACCACACAACCUCUGUCUUGAAACCUGAUGAAAUUCUUUCAAGAUUUAUUUAUUGUGGAAAUUGUGUGUGGAGAAAAAACUUUUUCAUUGUGAAUAGUGGCCUUUGAUACUUUGUUGGUACAAAUUUUAUUUAAUUUUAUUAUAAUCUUUUAAAAUUUAACAUCAAAAGAAAUGAUUUGGAAGAAAUAACUUGGUUUUAAUUAAUUGUGUAUCUAACUUAAUGUAUUCGAAAUGGUUUAAUGCAAUAAAUACAAUACAGUUUUUUUUGGUUUUUUUUAAUCAUAAAUGAACAAAAAUGCCUUUUGUAUUGAAAAGUUGUGUAUAUAUAUUCUUAGAUUAUAUAAUAAUAAGAGAUUUUUGUAGCUUAGUAUGGCCCAAAAUUGUGUGGAGAUUUGGAUUGUUCAGGCCUGUUUGACAGGAUUAAAGAGUGCCACUGCUGGUAAUAAUGUCAUUAACAUAUGUUUCUUCUUGUAUAAAGGAGAAGAGGAGUUGCAUGUUGUCUCAUGUCAUUGCAGGUUUCCAUUUACCAAGGUAAUAAUGUAAUUUCCUUGGCAAUUUUUGUAUAAAGCAGUAUACAGUAUAUAAUGUAAUAUGUAAAGUUAAAUAAAUACAUUGUGCCAUACAUGCACAAACUUGUAAUGUUUUACCAUGUCUGCUGAUUAAUCUUAAAUGAGAUAAUUCGUGUUGUACAUAAUAAUUAACAAAUACGAUAGACUCCAGUUAUAGACAUGCCAUCAUGUUGACGUGCUUGAAUUUUUAAAAGCAUUUGAGGGUCUGUUAGAGAAUAUAGAUUAUGUUACAUAAACAAGUUCAGGAUUUUCAAUUUCAUUAGUAAUAUACCAUGGAUAAAUGUUAGCCUGUAAUGAUAUGUGAUGUCAAAUGUCACAUUUUCUAAAAGAUAAUAUAAAAUUGUGUAUGCCUCAAAUAGCUGAAAAAAUUUAAAUUGAACAAAAUGUAAUUCUACUGGAGUGGAACAUAAAACAAUGUGUUGAGAAUGAUGUUGCUUCCAUUAGAUUUGUUUAAAUUUUGGUGGGGGGGUAUUCGAUGGAGGCGUUUAUUCCAAAUAAGCCUCUAAAGAGGGUGUAUAUUCAAAGUGGGGCGCAGUGGCGUAACGAUGGGGCCGGCGCCCUGUGGCUUUCUGAAACUGGGGGCCCAUUUUGGUCUCCGCCGUCACUGGGUAUAAUAUGAUAUAUGCUCUACAGUCGAUUUCAGAGAAACAUUAUGGUGUUAUGUAUGAACAAAGUCCUUUUUGGUCAGGUGCUAGACGAACCUAUGGGUAGGGCCCCUUCGGGGCCCUUACUAGUCGGAGGCCAGCGGACCGCUAAAUGAGAGCGUAUAGGCGUUACGCCACUGGCGGGGCGUUAUCUAAGUAAAUACGGUAAAAGGAAUUAUUUUGUAAUAUCUGAAUGAGUUUUGUUAAUACAGUAUUAGUGUUUUAUAUUACAGUAUCACUCAUCCCAUAGAUUCAUAUACUUUAUACUGUAUCAUUUAUCUUGCCUAAAGUACUUUCCUAUGUGGUUCUAUUUUUUUGGGUUUUUUUAAAGUGUUAUCUCUUAAUUGACAAGUACAGUAAUCGUAUUUUGUAUAUCUGUAUUUUUAAUAUUAAAUAUAUUUUGUCAUUUUAUUUUA